rnacentral:rRNA from 1 species
CCUCACCCCAGUCCAGACAGAGGAAGGAUUGACAGAUUGAUAGCUCUUUCUUGAUUCUUUGGGUGGUGGUGCAUGGCCGUUCUUAGUUGGUGGAGUGAUUUGUCUGGUUAAUUCCGUUAACGAACGAGACCUUAACCUGCUAAAUAGGAUGCGGGAAUAGGCUUUUGCUGUCCCGUUAUCGCUUCUUAGAGGGACUUUGCGGUUAUAAAUCGCAAGGAAGUUUAAGGCAAUAACAGGUCUGUGAUGCCCUUAGAUGUCCUGGGCUGCACGCGCGCUACACUGAUGCGUUCAUCGAGUUUAUCCUUGGCCGAGAGGCCCGGGUAAUCUUUAGUACGCAUCGUGAUGGGGAUCGAUUAUUGCAAUUAUUAAUCGUGAACGAGGAAUGCCUAGUAUGCGCAAGUCAUCAGCUUGUGCAGAUUACGUCCCUGCCCCUUUGUACA